rnacentral:lncRNA from 1 species
CAGGAAUGGGAAGAAAACUGUCCUAGGAUGUGAGGUAGCAUGGACUGUGCACUAUUGUCCCCUUACCCUCUGUAGAGGAAAUGCUAAAUCAUGGCCUGAAGCAGGGAUUGAGCACCUGGUGGGAAGACAGGGCCAACCCAGGGAAGCUCAGGUGCAAGCAAUGCACCUGAGUGACUGGAAAGGGUGGAGCCAGGAUCCACCCCUUUCCAGACCUCAUUUAAAGAUAUUUCUUGCUAGAGAUUCCUGUCUACCUGAGGCCAAUUCAGAAGUAAGUAGCUCUUUUCCUUCAUUUCUGUGUCUGUAGCUGCUGUGUUCGGGUUCAUUCUCAUUUGCUGUAGCCAUCCUGCUAUUAUCAUCUAAUUAUAGCAUUACACCCUUGUAACAUUUUUCCAUGGCCAAGUAUGAGGACAAAACAAUAUCAGACUUUGUUCAUAUUAAAUUUGUUGAAGUUGUCUUUCUCCUUCUGGGCAUUCCCAUGUGCUUUCCUACACAGAUACAACACUGUUCAUCAGCAGUGCUGCCAUUGACAGAGGUUGGCUUCUUGAUCUUGGGACAGAUUCUUUAGUAUGGCCUGUUGUGAAAAGGCUAGGGGAAAUGAUUUCAAACUAAAAGAGGGGAGAUUUAAACUGGGUAUAGGGAAAGAGUUUUUUUUAUGAUGAGUGUAGUGAAGCACUGGAACAAGAAGUGGUAGAUGCUCUAUCCCUGAAGACAUUCAAGAUCAGGCUGGAGCAGACCCUGAGUAACCUGAUCUAGCUGUAAAUGUCCCUGUUCAUUGAAGGGGUUUGGACUAGAUGAUCUUUAAAGGUCCCUUCCAACUCAAUGAAUUCUAUGAUUCUGUGACCUAAUGAGAAUGUUGUAGACCUCACAAAAGGACACAAGCAGAGCACAGGACAUGUAGUCAGGCAUAGAGAUCAAUCAGUCUCACCCCAUUCCUCAUGCACUUCUGAGAAUGGUUUCUCUGCACAUGUGUAGUUCCACCUCUUCCCUCAGUGUGGCCAUGCCAUCUGCUUGGACCUAUACCUCACCUCUCCGCACCUAGGCCUGACGGGGAAAAAAAGAUCCCUGCAUUUCCUCCUCUUGAUUCCCUCAUGCAGGCUGUCAACAGCCUCGACUUUUCAGACCUCCUACCUCGCACGGCCAAAGGACUCGCAGGAGUCACGCGUCUCCCGAGAGGACCUGGCACUAGAGGGCGAUGCCGACAUGCGCUUCUGCCGGUGUCUCCACAAUUCGUUAGCAAAAGCAGAGGAAUCAGAUGUUAAUGAUGAAGUUUGUGAAAUAAGGCAAGUGGUAGGUUAUCACUUCAUUACAUGGUGCUUGAUUCUGGAACAAGAGGAAUUAGCCUUAAACAUCAUCCCAGAGACUGAAGCAUAUGGGGUUUAACAGCUACACUAGCAACAACACAUCCAUACUGCACAUAUGGCACAAUGAUGUGAGCAGCACAGAGCUAGGACACCAUCAAGGAAGAUGAAGAGUGGUUUCAUUUAAUCAUGAACACAUAAAGACAUGAACAGCAGGACUGAAAUAUAAAAUGUUUGGGUAGAAACUUCUGUGGGAAGGCUGUAUCUUUGCUAGUCCUCACUACACUGAACAGAGAAUGAGGAGAAAAAACACUUGGGCUUUCUGGGGAUGCUGACCUCCUGCUCUUGUAAGACUGGAGAAAAAAAAACUACAAAAGAGAAUGCAAAGCAAGAUCAUCUCUGAACACAUUACAAUUGCUGCUUUACCUAGAUGCUGAAUUCAGGCCUGCAGUUUUGCAAUGUGCAAUUUGUUCUCCCACAAUAACAUUUGUUACUGAGAUCAUGUUUGGAAGAAUGAAUGUUUUUGAAUGGGAAAUGGGCAAGAAAAUUCCUCUAGCUCCAGAACUGAAUCAGAAAGAAGUGAUAUAGACUUUCUGCAGAAACAGAAAGGUACUUUGCAGAAAGAGAGCACCUAAUUACCAGAUUUACUUCUAAUGUAUUGAGCAGAUUUAGGGAAAUCAUGCAGUGUGAAAUUUCAGCUGAUUCUGCUCUCUUGUCCUAUGCAAGAGCAAGAUCUUCAAAUGAAGCCAUUCAAAACUUAUUUCAAAUGUAAUAAAAAGUGGUUAUUCUUUAUCCA